AGUAUGUCGUAGGAAUGCCGAUGGAGGGGGAUAACUACUGGAAACGGUAGCUAAUACCGCAUAACGUCGCAAGACCAAAGAGGGGGACCUUCGGGCCUCUUGCCAUCGGAUGUGCCCAGAUGGGAUUAGCUAGUAGGUGGGGUAACGGCUCACCUAGGCGACGAUCCCUAGCUGGUCUGAGAGGAUGACCAGCCGCACUGGAACUGAGACACGGUCCAG
rnacentral:rRNA from 1 species